CCUACGGGAGGCAGCAGUGAGGAAUAUUGGUCAAUGGACGAGAGUCUGAACCAGCCAAGUAGCGUGAAGGAUGACUGCCCUAUGGGUUGUAAACUUCUUUUAUAUGGGAAUAAAAUGUUCCACGUGUGGGAUUUUGUAUGUACCAUAUGAAUAAGGAUCGGCUAACUCCGUGCCAGCAGCCGCGGUAAUACGGAGGAGCCGAGCGUUUUCCGGAUUUAUUGGGGUUAAAGGGAGCGUAGGUGGUUUGUUAAGUCAGUUGGGAAAGUUUGCGGGUCAACCGUAAAAUUGCAGUUGAAACUGGGCAUCUUGAGUACAGUAGAGGUGGGCGGAAUUCGUGGUGUAGCGGUGAAAUGCUUAGAUAUCACGAAGAACUCCGAUUGCGAAGGCAGCUCACUGGACUGCAACUGACACUGAGGCUCGAAAGUGUGGGUAUCAAACAGGAUUAGAUACCCCAGUAGUC
rnacentral:rRNA from 1 species